CUUGGAUUGGAGAAAAGUUAAGGAGUUUGGGUGAUUUUGGUGCUUGGAGCUUAGAAAUUAGUGGAAAGGGUAAGUCAGUGGCUGAUCAACCAUGAGUUUGAGGAGCAAAACGAAGAAUGUACAUGUUCAAGCCAUAUCAGACCAAGCGGGUUAAGGGUCUAUCAGUGUUGAACUUUUGAAUUCUGUUUUGCCGCUUAGGUCGGCUAGGAAGAAAAGACUUGUAAUAAGUUUGUAAUUAUUUUUGGGAUCCCAACUAUUUUGAAAAGUUUAAAUAUAUUACAAGUUUAUUUUCAUUCUGAUUAAUAUAAAAGUUUAAAUUCUGCGCUAUUUUAA